AUUCAAAUAGUUUAUAAAAAUGUCGAUUUGUGGAGUCGAAGAUGCAGAAAUCUGUUUUGGAUA
rnacentral:tRNA from 1 species